rnacentral:sRNA from 1 species
GUAGAUCCUACUGUUGAAAAUGAGGAAACGUUCAUGAACAGAGUUGAAGUUAAAGUAAAGAUUCCUGAAGAGCUAAAACCAUGGCUUGUUGAUGACUGGGACUUAAUUACCAGGCAAAAACAGCUCUUUUAUCUUCCUGCCAAGAAGAAUGUGGAUUCCAUUCUUGAGGAUUAUGCAAAUUACAAGAAAUCUCGUGGAAACACAGAUAAUAAGGAGUAUGCGGUUAAUGAAGUUGUGGCAGGGAUAAAAGAAUACUUCAACGUAAUGUUGGGUACCCAGCUACUCUACAAAUUUGAGAGACCACAGUAUGCCGAAAUUCUUGCUGAUCAUCCCGAUGCACCCAUGUCCCAGGUGUAUGGAGCGCCACAUCUCCUGAGAUUAUUUGGUAAUAUGUCAUGUAGAAAAUAAUGGAUUUUACUUUUUGGGGGGUCUUCUCUAAAUGAAUAAGAGGUAAAGUAAUUAACUUUCCAAAACAUGACUCCAUUUUAAUUUGAAUUUUUAUCUAGAAUGUUAAAUAGCAAAAUGUCUUUGGGAGCAAGAGUUUUAAAAAUCGUGUAUUUUAUUUUAUAAUUUUUUUUUUGAGACAGAGUCUCACUCUGUUGCCCAGGCUGGAGUGCAGUGGUGAGAUCUUGGCUCACUGUAACCUCCACCUCCUGGGUUCAAGCAAUUCUCCUGCCUCAGCCUCCCAAGUAGUUGGGAUCACAGGUGUGCGCCACCACACCUGUGGUAAUUUUUGUAUUUCCAGUAGAGAUGGGGUUUCACCACGUUGGCAAAGGUGGUCUUGAAUUCCUGACCUCAAGUGAUUGCCUACCUCGGCCUCCCAAAGUGCUGGGAUUACAGGCGUGAGCUACCAUGCCCGGCCUAAAAUCAUAUAUUUUAAAGGAAUUGGUGGUGUUUGCUCACAUAAU